ACCCUUUUCAUUAUAGUACUCAGCAGUUUGUUUGAUUAAAGGAAGACAUAAGAAGUUAAGAGGAAAUCCAAGGAGAGGAAAGAAAUAGAAAAAUAGUAUAAAAGAGAAGAAAUAUAAACUGUUCAUUUUUAUUCCAUUUAGCUCUGAAUUAUGAUGUGAAAGUAAUGAAUAUUAGUUGAUGUCCAUUCUCCAGUGGUUAUUCUGUUGUACUAAUAAUUUGGAAUUAUAAUUGUCAACCAGUUAACAGAUGUUUCAAUGACUCUUACCCUAACAACCACCAAUGACAUGCAAGUGUGAAUAAACAUUUAGACGUCAGUGUACCUUAUGGGUUUGGAGUACUAUAAGAUCAUUUAUUAAUUCUCCCUGCCUCUGUUGCUUGAAUCUGUACGAUCUAGAACAUUGGGGGUAUUAACUCUAGUAUUCUUGGAACUGUUUUUUUAUAAUUACAUUGUAUGCAGGUCAUUGUUACAUAAAAAAUUAUAUAUUGUAUGCAGUUUGUCAGACAACAACACUUGAUUUCUUCGCAAAAUAUCAGUUUCAUUUCAAUCUGUGCGUACGUGAGGAAUAAAAUAGCAAAAUUUGGAGAAACAAAUACGCAGAGUAGUUGGCCAGUCACAAAUUUCUAAAGCAAAAAUAUUGCAGGAGUUUAAAAGGUGACAGAACCUACAGAUUUUACCGAGUUAACAAACAAAGAAUCAUGACUCUAAUCAACAAAGCUGGCUGUAAAACCAGAAAUGUUGUUUGGGAAGCGUGGAAAGAGUGGCUAGGUAGCUUUGAAUCUGGAUCUAGCAAGAGUUGUAUGGUUUGUAAAAAUACAAAUUAGCUAUUCAGAAUGUGGAGGCAUUGAAAUUGAAGAGAGCUGGGACAAGAUAGAAUAUUGAUUCUAGAAUACAAUCCUAUGCUACUCAAUAUGGAAGAGUCUACUUGUGUGCUGUAACUGAGAAACUACUGUUAAUGGACUGUGAUUAUGGAAUGACACCUUAAUCUGGUCCAAGAUUUGCAAAACAAAUCAGUAGGCAGGUAAAAGAAUGUCACUUUAGUUUUUCCAACAAUCUUUCACUACCUUCUCAAUUCAAUUAUGAAGUAUAGCGUUGUAAUUUGUAUAUCAAUGUGUUGUUUUUGUUCCUAUCUGUUUAUCA